AAACUUACCUGGCGCCGGGUUCAGGGUGUUCAAGAAUGCUCUGACCCCGGGUGGAGGCUCACCAUUGCACCUCGGUGGGUUGAAACUCGCGACGGACCCUAAUCGGGUGCGCUCGGGCGAAUAAGUUUUUUUCAGUGGGGAGGCCUCACGGUCCUCCCUUU
rnacentral:snRNA from 15 species